rnacentral:rRNA from 1 species
CCUACGGGAGGCAGCAGUGGGGAAUAUUGGACAAUGGGCGAAAGCCUGAUCCAGCCAUGCCGCGUGUGUGAAGAAGGUCUUCGGAUUGUAAAGCACUUUAAGUUGGGAGGAAGGGUUGUAGAUUAAUACUCUGCAAUUUUGACGUUACCGACAGAAUAAGCACCGGCUAACUCUGUGCCAGCAGCCGCGGUAAUACAGAGGGUGCAAGCGUUAAUCGGAAUUACUGGGCGUAAAGCGCGCGUAGGUGGUUUGUUAAGUUGGAUGUGAAAGCCCCGGGCUCAACCUGGGAACUGCAUCCAAAACUGGCAAGCUAGAGUACGGUAGAGGGUGGUGGAAUUUCCUGUGUAGCGGUGAAAUGCGUAGAUAUAGGAAGGAACACCAGUGGCGAAGGCGACCACCUGGACUGAUACUGACACUGAGGUGCGAAAGCGUGGGGAGCAAACAGGAUUAGAUACCCUGGUAGUCCACGCCGUAAACGAUGUCAACUAGCCGUUGGAAUCCUUGAGAUUUUAGUGGCGCAGCUAACGCAUUAAGUUGACCGCCUGGGGAGUACGGCCGCAGGUUAAAACUCAAAUGAAUUGACGG